AUACUUACCUGGCAGGAGCGAUACCAUGAUCAUGAAGGUGGUUUUCCCAGAGCGAGACUUAUCCACUGCCCUCCUGAUGUGCUGACCCCUGCAAUUUCCCCAAAUUCGGGAAACUUGACUGCAUGAUUUGUGGUAGUGGGGGGGACUGUGUUUGCACUCUCCUUAA